AGUACUGAGAAGGCCAGAAGAAGGUAACAGAUUCUCCUGAAGCUGGAGUUACAGGUGACUGUGAGCCGCCUGACCUGGUACUAGGACCUGAACUAAGGUCUUCUGCAAGAGCAGCAAGCACUCUUAACCACUGAGCCAACUAUCUAGACAGAAUCUCAUGAACUUUGAAGGAGGAAACAUACUCAGAGGUAGUCCAAAUUCAAGCAACAAUACUUAACCCAGUGGUUGCGAAUCAGUCUUAAGUAAAUGAAAGUCAGAAGUCGUGGCUUAAAUGAGAAAGAAAAAAACAAUGGAAAUGUCACUCUUUUACACUAUGCCUUCACAUCUGAGCCAUCAUUUUCAGCUGUGACAAAUAAUGAAAUCAACGUGAGGGAAUGGUUUAGUAUCUGGGGCACAGAUGGCCCUGAAGACACAUAAUGAAUAAAAUAAGUCAUUGACCCCCCCAUCCAGAUUCUAUCCAAUUUCAAGUCUUAGUAAUUCUUUCAACCUCACUGCCUUUAAAAGUUAUUCCUAAAUACAAUAUGCUAAAAACAGCUACUUUUAAAUGAUAAGGCAGAAUGAAAACCAAAAAAAUGUAAUUUUAUAUAUUCAUGCAUGCAUGCAUGUGGGGUGUGUGUGUGCGUGCCUGCCUCUGUUGUUUGAACAACGUGUGAGUUUGUCUAACUGCUAAGGCUGAUAAACAGUGAUCUUGUUAUUCAAAUCACAUACCUCUGAGACCUUGAAAUCCACAUUCAAGUUUUAUUGUAGUCCCUUUAACAAUUCCAUUAUAGUUACUCUGUCUUUAGAGGUUUACAGAGCCUGGAACCUCUAGCACAAGCCAGCUGCCAGCACUGGGCACCAUACCUUCAGGAGGCUGGAGUCCGUGUGCAUGGUCCUUCCUUUCCCUCCUUAUAGAGCCUCUGCUUCAGGCCAGAUCGAAAACCAGCACGGUGGCAGAGUUCCAAACACAAAGCGCCCCAGGGCCAGCACAGGCUCUGCAACAUCCCAGACUAGCCAGGCUCGGCAAAACAUUUUAGUGUCUUGGUCACACCUUGCCCUACCUGUGCAGCGACUGCAGGAAGGUCAAAAUGCUGUGCUUGUAGCUGAAAUGCAACCAUAAGGGGGUGGGGGUCUUCUUAUCCCUUUUCAAAGCUCAAGGUGUAAAUGAGGGUAGGGUGUGGGAGACAUGUGAAUUAGCUUUCCAAUUCUGGGAAGGAGCGAACAGGUAGUCAGUCAUUCAUUAAACUAUACAGGUCCACAUAGGCACACCCUGUCUGCCUUCUGCCCUGCACUGCGUAGUUUCUGGCAACUUGACACAAACUAGAUUCACCCAGGAAGACAGAAUCUCAAUUGAGGCACUGCCUCCAUCAGAUUGGCUGGUUAAAUGUCUAUGGGACAUUUUCGUGACUGCUAUUGAUUGACAGCAAAGGGCCCAGCCCAUGGUGGGUCAUGCCAGCUCUAGGUGGGUGGCCCUAGGCUGUAGAAGAAAGGUGCCUGAACAGGCCUAGAGAAGCAAGUCUCUGUGGCAUUCCUGCCUUGUUUUCCCUCAACGAUGAUCUGUAACCAGGCCUGGAGAAGCAAGUCUCUGUGGCAUUCCUGCCUUGUUUUCCCUCAACGAUGAUCUGUAGCCAGUAAGUCAGAGAAAUUCUUUCCUCCCCAAGAUGCUUUCAAUCAAAGUUUUUUGUAUCCCAGCAACAGAAAGCAGACUAGGACGCACCGGUCCUCUGUCCCUCGGCCACCUUGGAAACUGUCUCCUUGACUAUUGUUCUCGUUCUCUUUAGCUCCCCAACCUUGGCUUGUCUCCCCUCCUUACCCGUGAAUCUCAUGUUCUCUGGUGCCGUGGAGAGGGCAAGAUGCCCAGGUGUGUCUGCCUUCUUGCCAUGGGAUCCCUGCAAUGUGGCCCCACGUGAAAUCUGCUUCUGGCUUCAGAGUGAACCAGUCUCUCUCGUCGUGGAUGGGAACUGCGUCUGCUGUAAAGGAGGAGCCAUGCCCUCUGAGGACUGGAAGAUUCCAACCUAGCACUGGAAGAAGGUUGAAGAAAUUCUCUGCUAGAAACGGAAUCUCUGAAUUCUCCAACUACUGACAGGGUAAUUUUACGCAUGCUUCCAUAAAAGAGCUGAAUGUCAUUAGGCCGCUGAGGAAGAUCACAUGCUGUAAAAGAAUGCACUUUAAAACAUAAACCCUCAUGCGAGCACAGCACAAAACAGCACAGCAGGAAGCAUCUCAAUUAUCACUAUCACUGACUGCUACAGACUCCCACCAUCAGAGCAGAUGAACCAAAUGUGAACAAUCAUCUUUGCUACUCCGUAACCUUUGGCAAGUUGUUAAACCUCUCUGAGCUUUAGUUCCCUCAGCUAAGACCUGGAAUAGCGGUAAUCAUCUAUCUCAGGGACACUGUGAGACUUAAAACAUGAACAUUUUUCAAGAUAUGUAUAGCACAAAGCACAUAUAGUAAGCGAGGAGUUCUUCAGGUUAACUAAAUUUCCAGAGUGACUCUUGGAGGUAGGUAUUAUGAAGUACACAUUUAAAAGGAGGAAUCUAAAACAUUCAAAGGCUAAGGGCAAGUUUCACAGUAAAGCAAAUCUAUGAACCAGUCACUGUUAACAACACUAAGUAUUUCUAGAUUAAUUAAAAUGAGAGGGGGCAUCAUGAACAUCUCUAGAUUAGGCUGCCCAAAUGUAUAUAUGCAAGAGAUUUUAGAGCGUAUUUCAUUCUGUCAUCCUUUAAAAAUUAUAUAUGUCAAAUGGAAAUCGUCAAAUAAUGCAGUAAAUUUGUUUUGUUUUUCUCGAGUCACGAUCUCACAUAGCCAAGGUUGGUCUUGUACCUCUGAUCCUUCUGAGUCCACUCCCAAAUGCCUGCAUUACAUUCAUGUCUCCAAGCCAGAUAGUAAAUUGAAAUUUACAGUAACUAUGCCAUGACUAUAACUUAUGAGAAUAGCUACUUCUUAUUUAUUAAUGGGUUUGCCAAAACAACCAUUCUUUUCUCUGUAUUGCUUUGGAGGCUGUCUGGAACUCGCUCUGUUGACCAGGCUGAUCUCAAAUUCACAGAGAUCCACCUGCCUCUGCCUCCUGAGUGCUGGGAUUAAAUGUGUGUGCCAACACCCAGCCAAAACAGCCCUUCUUAUAACACAUUUCUUGAAUUUCUGGACAAGGAGCUGCCCUGGAACAUCCUUACUUCCCUGGUCCAUCUUUUCUACUUUGUCUCCAUUUCCUGUUCUUCAAGUAGAUUUUGACAGUCAACUCAAUUCUCAGUGACGGGCCCCUCUGUGCCUCUCCCAUUCCUAAACCAUACCAGUGCUCUACUCACAACACACUUUAGCCUUCUCUACACCUGUCUUCUGUAUCUGUCAGUCCUUUAUGGGUAAGGACUACAGUCUAGUGUCCACACAGAUGCAUCUACUCAGCAGGAGAAUGGACUACAGUCUAGUGUCCACACAGAGGCAUCUACUCAGCAGGAGAAUGGACUACAGUCUAGUGUCCACACAGAUGCAUCUACUCAGCAGGAGAAUGGGGACUACAGUCUAGUGUCUACACAGAGGCAUCUACUCAGCAGGAGGAUGGGGACUACAGUCUAGUGUCCACACAGAGGCAUCUACUCAGCAGGAGGAUGGCGACUACAGUCUAGUGUCUACACAGAGGCAUCUACUCAGCAGGAGGAUGGGGACUACAGUCUAGUGUCCACACAGAGGCAUCUACUCAGCAGGAGGAUGGGGACUACAGUCUAGUGUCCACACAGAUGCAUCUACUCAGCAGGAGGAUGGGGACUACAGUCUAGUGUCCACACAGAGGCGUCUACUCAGCAGGAGGAUGGGGACUACAGUCUAGUGUCCACACAGAUGCAUCUACUCAGCAGGAGAAUGGACUACAGCCUUCUGUCCACACAGAGGCAUCUACUCAGCAGGAGGAUGGGGACUACAGUCUAGUGUCCACACAGAGGCAUCUACUCAGCAGGAGGAUGGGGACUACAGUCUAGUGUCCACACAGAGGCAUCUACUCAGCAGGAGGAUGGACUACAGUCUAGUGUCCACACAGAGGCGUCUACUCAGCAGGAGGAUGGCGACUACAGUCUAGUGUCUACACAGAGGCGCCUACUCAGCAGGAGAAUGGGGACUACAGUCUACAGUCUAGUGUCCACACAGAUGCAUCUACUCAGCAGGAGAAUGGACUACAGUCUAGUGUCCACACAGAGGCAUCUACUCAGCAGGAGGAUGGGGACUACAGUCUAGUGUCCACACAGAGGCAUCUACUCAGCAGGAGGAUGGGGACUACAGUCUACAGUCUAGUGUCCACACAGAGGCAUCUACUCAGCAGGAGGAUGGGGACUACAGUCUACAGUCUAGUGUCCACACAGAGGCGUCUACUCAGCAGGAGGAUGGCGACUACAGUCUUGUGUCCACACAGAGGCAUCUACUCAGCAGGAGAAUGGACUACAGUCUAGUGUCCACACAGAGGCAUCUACUCAGCAGGAGGAUGGGGACUACAGUCUAGUGUCCACACAGAGGCAUCUACUCAGCAGGAGGAUGGGGACUACAGUCUAGUGUCCACACAGAGGCGUCUACUCAGCAGGAGGAUGGCGACUACAGUCUUGUGUCUACACAGAGGCAUCUACUCAGCAGGAGGAUGGGGACUACAGUCUAGUGUCCACACAGAGGCGUCUACUCAGCAGGAGGAUGGCGACUACAGUCUUGUGUCCACACAGAGGCGUCUACUCAGCAGGAGAAUGGACUGCAGUCUAGUGUCCACACAGAGGCAUCUACUCAGCAGGAGAAUGGACUAUCGCUACUGGUGGAAUUAUGCCACUGCAAACUCUACAUCUUCACCACAGCUGCAAUGUUACUAUGUAUGUCCACAGCAAAAUGAAGUUCAGCUCUAGCUGGAACUUUCCUCUGAGAAAGGGAUGAUGAUCUAAAGUAGCAAAGAUGGAUCUUAACCUGAAUGCAUAUAUUCAGCUUCCCCUCCCUCCUGUCUUCCUGUUUCCUCUCCCAUCUCCCAUCUACAACCUCAUCGUUUCCGCCGUUCAGAAAGACGCAGGCCUUGGGAGUCAACAAAGCAUGGCAUAUCAACUUGAGGCAGGCAACUUCCUGAAUUUAACAGCAGUAGCAUAGACACUGAGAUUGACAAUUAAUAUAUGGGACCUCCUGAAACUGAAAAACUUCUGUAAGGCAAAGGGCACAGUCAAUAAGACAAAACGGCUCUCCACAG